UACGUAGGGGGCAAGCGUUGUCCGGAUUUAUUGGGCGUAAAGAGCGUGUAGGCGGCCAUACAGGUCAGCUGUGAAAACUCGAGGCUCAACCUCGAGAGGUCGGUGGAAACCGUUUGGCUAGAGUCCGGAAGAGGAGAGUGGAAUUCCCGGUGUAGCGGUGAAAUGCGCAGAUAUCGGGAAGAACACCCGUGGCGAAGGCGGCUCUCUGGGACGGUACUGACGCUGAGACGCGAAAGCGUGGGGAGCGAACAGG
rnacentral:rRNA from 1 species